GUCGGGAAUUUUGCUCAAUGGGCGCAAGCCUGAAGCAGCAACGCCGCGUGAGGGAUGAAUGCCCUCGGGUUGUAAACCUCUUUUCUCAGGGACGAUGAUGACGGUACCUGAGGAAUAAGUCACGGCUAACUACGUGCCAGCAGCCGCGGUAAUACGUAGGUGACCAGCGUUGUCCGGAUUUACUGGGCGUAAAGAGCGCGCAGGCGGUCGUUCAAGUCGAGUGUGAAAGCCCCCGGCUCAACUGGGGAGGGUCACUCGAUACUGAUCGACUUGAAGGCAGGAGAGGGAAGCGGAAUUCCCGGUGUAGUGGUGAAAUGCGUAGAUAUCGGGAGGAACACCAGUGGCGAAGGCGGCUUCCUGGCCUGUUCUUGACGCUGAGGCGCGAAAGCUAGGGGAGCAAACGGGAUUAGAAACCCUAGUAGUCC
rnacentral:rRNA from 1 species